GAUGAACGCUGGCGGCGUGCUUAACACAUGCAAGUCGAACGAUGAACCGGGUGCUUGCACUCGGGGAUUAGUGGCGAACGGGUGAGUAACACGUGAGCAACCUGCCCCUGACUCUGGGAUAAGCGCUGGAAACGGCGUCUAAUACUGGAAAUGUCCCGUCACCGCAAGGUGUGCGGGUGGAAAGAUUUUUCGGUUGGGGAUGGGCUCGCGGCCUAUCAGCUUGUUGGUGAGGUAAUGGCUCACCAAGGCGUCGACGGGUAGCCGGCCUGAGAGGGUGACCGGCCACGCUGGGACUGAGACACGGCCCAGACUCCUACGGGAGGCAGCAGUGGGGAAUAUUGCACAAUGGGCGGAAGCCUGAUGCAGCAACGCCGCGUGAGGGAUGACGGCCUUCGGGUUGUAAACCUCUUUUAGCAGGGAAGAAGCGAGAGUGACGGUACCUGCAGAAAAAGCACCGGCUAACUACGUGCCAGCCGCCGCCGUAA
rnacentral:rRNA from 1 species